UUGCUGUAGGUGAACCUGCAGCAGGAUCAGUAUUCGGAAAGGGUUAUCAACAUAUAUCAAACAAACAGUGACUGGCGACUAUGAGAAACCAGCCAAAGAACAGAGAGAAGAGAUCUUUGUGUCUUUUGAGAGCUGGGAGCCACCCCAUGUUUUUUUCCUUCAAAGUACUUAACAAUGAAUCUCUUGGCUCGU
rnacentral:misc_RNA from 1 species